ACCAACAGUCACCUUUUUACCUCCUUGAUCACCAUCAAGUGAAAAGCAUGCCAAGUAGUUCCCAGCCUCAGUUGCCGUAAAGGCAAACUGACCGUGAGCAACUUUUUCGCUAUGAUGGAUUUCAUUUCCAUAUGGUGAUGUAACCUAAAAGGAGCCGCGUUCAAAGAUAAAUUUAGACAUAAGCAAUUUUUAUUUAUUUUUUAUUAUUAAAAUGUCUAAAUCUUCCAAGUCUUAAAGUCAAUGGGAUGAUAACUUUCACAAAACUGAGCUUCUUCUACACAAUAUUCAGUUCUAAUAUAUCCAACUUAUACAUGAAACCCAGAUGCCCCUGAAAUUCGGCAAGACAUAAUUAGCCAAUAAGUCACUUAUAGCUAAGAAGUCCCUUCAGAAUUCUUAUUGCAGAAAAAGUGUUUCCUUUCAGUAAGGGGUGCCAUAUUCAAGAUACUAAUGUUAUCAUUAUAUAUAAGCCGCUAGCUAUCAAAAGACAGGAUAUUAAACCUAUUCUGCAUUAGAAGAUCUACAAUACUUUAAGUGGUCAAAAUGCAUUCAACAAAUACAACGAAGUUUAGUGAUUUCAUUGAAUUAUAACGGCUGAGAGUUCCCUUGCCUUAUUAUUCAUCACUAGCUAGACAUGACAAUAGUUCAAGGAUUCUAUUCUAAGUACUAAUCUAGGAUACUCAAACAUAUGCAGAAGAAAAUAUAGUGUGUGUGUGUUUGGAUGGAGGGAUUUGAAAUGAAAAAAAUUGAAAUUUGAUGUUUCAAUUUGAGGUGAAUAUAUGUAAUGAAUAUGAAAGCCAUAAAUUUCAAUUAUUGUUUGGCAAAGUUGGAUAUAAAUUUGGGAUUUGAUUUUUCAGUUAUAGUUGUAAACUCAUAAAUAAAAGUAGAAAAACAUAAUUUUGUCUGAAUAUAUAAAUUGAUAAUAACAUAGGAUUUUCCUCUAUGUUAGUAUGUAACGCGAAAUCAAAGUUGCAGCUUUGCCAAGCAAAUUAAUUUGAAAUCAACUCUCCAAAUCCAUCAUCAAAUUCUUUAUACCAAACUACAGAAAAAAGGAAAUCGAAGCACAUCAAAAUUCAGUCAAUUGACCCCUCUACUGUAACUCAUUUCAAUGGUAAAGUCAUAAUCACUCUCGCAGCUAACUAGAAAGCAGCAACCUCAAUAAAAGAAAACCACAUCAAAAUACAAUGUUUACAAAUCAAAGUGUUCAUCUCAAACUUCACAAUACACAAACAAUUGAAUUUACCAUUCACUAAAACAAACAAUGAGCAAAUUCAAUUAUAGAAACCAAACGAUUUCCUGAUUGGAUCAACGAAAACUUCACAACAUUCUCCUAUAAUUUUUUUUGGGGCUCUAUACAUCAAUAGAAUACAACAAAAAUCGAGACCGAUCAGAAGAUCCAAAACAAUAAUUUCAAAAGCAAGCAAAUUAAACUUACCUUAACGGUGAUGGUCGGAGUCUGAGUAGCAUUGACAUCGUAGUCUUCUCCGAUGAAUGCGUAGUAAUCAGCUAAAACAACGGCGUUAUUGUGCAAUUCCUCGGAGAUGCACUUCGAUCCUGUGCUCGGUAAGUCCAACCACAACCCACGCGCCGCCGGAACCGCCGCCGCCACUAUGAGCAGCGUCCACAGCCAACGCGCUUCCCCUAACUUCAUAAUCGAUCCUCAACUGCAGGGAACGGAAUGCACAGGUUUGGAGAUUUCUGAGAGAAA